rnacentral:rRNA from 1 species
GAUGAACGCUGGCGGCGUGCCUAAUACAUGCCAGUCGAGCGAACAGACGAGGAGCUUGCUCCUCUGACGUUAGCGGCGGACGGGUGAGUAACACGUGGAUAACCUACCUAUAAGACUGGGAUAACUUCGGGAAACCGGAGCUAAUACCGGAUAAUAUAUUGAACCGCAUGGUUCAAUAGUUAAAGACGGUUUUGCUGUCACUUAUAGAUGGAUCCGCGCCGCAUUAGCUAGUUGGUAAGGUAACGGCUUACCAAGGCAACGAUGCGUAGCCGACCUGAGAGGGUGAUCGGCCACACUGGAACUGAGACACGGUCCAGACUCCUACGGGAGGCAGCAGUAGGGAAUCUUCCGCAAUGGGCGAAAGCCUGACGGAGCAACGCCGCGUGAGUGAUGAAGGUCUUCGGAUCGUAAAACUCUGUUAUUAGGGAAGAACAAAUGUGUAAGUAACUAUGCACGUCUUGACGGUACCUAAUCAGAAAGCCACGGCUAACUACGUG